GACAGAGGGUGCUAGCGUUGUUCGGAAUGACUGGGCGUAAAGGGCGCGUAGGCGGUUAUAUUAGUCAAGCGUGAAAGCCCCGGCUUAACCCGGGAAUUGCGCCUGAAACGGUAUGACUAGAGGACGAGAGAGGAAAGCGGAAUUCCUAGUGUAGAGGUGAAAUUCGUAGAUAUUAGGAGGAACAUCAGAGGCGAAGGCGCUUUCUGGGCUCGUUACUGACGCUGAGGCGGCGAAAGCGUGGGGAG
rnacentral:rRNA from 1 species